AAGUCGUAACAAGGUUUCCGUAGGUGAACCUGCGGAAGGAUCGUUAUUGAAAUAAACCUGAUGGGUUGUUGCUGGUUCUCUAGGGAGCAUGUGCACGCCUUGUCAUCUUUAUAUCUCCACCUGUGCACCUUUUGUAGAUCUUUCAGGUCUAUGUUUGCUUCAUUUACACACAAUGCAUGUUAAUAGAAUGUUGUGCCUAUGUAAUAUAUACAACCUUCAACAACGGAUCUCUUGGCUCUCGCAUCGAUGAAGAACGCAGCGAAAUGCGAUAAGUAAUGUGAAUUGCAGAAUUCAGUGAAUCAUCGAAUCUUUGAACGCACCUUGCGCUCCUUGGUAUUCCGAGGAGCAUGCCUGUUUGAGUGUCUUGAAAUCAUCAAACCCCUCUGGUUUCUGCUGGAGCGGGUUUGGACUUGGGGGUUUUGCUGCCUCUGGCGGCUCCCCUUAAAUGAAUCGGUCGGGCUUUCGUGUGGCUUGUCCCUUGGCGUUGUAUCAACCUCGUCGCUGGAUGGCUCGCGAGCUUAGCGCCCCUCCAAGACCAGCCUCUGGAGUGGCGGUCAACUUCAAUUUGUGAUCUGACCUCAAAUCAGGUAGGACUACCCGCUGAACUUAAGCAUAUCAAUAAGCGGAGGAAAAGAAACUAACAAGGAUUCCCCUAGUAACUGCGAGUGAAGCGGGAAAAGCUCGAAUUUAAAAUCUGGCGGCUCCGCCGUCCGAGUUGUAUUCUGGAGAA
rnacentral:misc_RNA from 1 species